GUGUCGUGAGAUGUUGGGUUAAGUCCCGCAACGAGCGCAACCCCUAUUGUUAGUUGCCAUCAUUCAGUUGGGCACUCUAGCGAGACUGCCGGUAAUAAACCGGAGGAAGGUGGGGAUGACGUCAAAUCAUCAUGCCCCUUAUGACCUGGGCUACACACGUGCUACAAUGGUUGGUACAACGAGUUGCGAGUCGGUGACGGCGAGCUAAUCUCUUAAAGCCAAUCUCAGUUCGGAUUGUAGGCUGCAACUCGCCUACAUGAAGUCGGAAUCGCUAGUAAUCGCGGAUCAGCACGCCGCGGUGAAUACGUUCCCGGGCCUU
rnacentral:rRNA from 1 species